UAUCCUCCGCGCGACUGGCGAAAUCAGAUGGGUCACCAUCGGGGAGCGCGGAGACUGGUCUUUCGAGCCGAUCGCCUGGGCAGCACUU
rnacentral:ncRNA from 20 species